rnacentral:rRNA from 1 species
AUUGAACGCUGGCGGCAGGCCUAACACAUGCAAGUCGAACGAGUGGCGGACGGGUGAGUCAUGUCUGGGAAACUGCCUGAUGGAGGGGGAUAACUACUGGAAACGGUAGCUAAUACCGCAUACCAUCAGAUGUGCCCAGAUGGGAUUAGCUAGUAGGUGGGGUAAUGGCUCACCUGGGCGACGAUCCCUAGCUGGCCUGAGAGGAUGACCAGCGACACUGGAACUGAGACACGGGCCAGACUCCUACGGUAGGCAGCAUUGGCGAAUAUUGCACAAUGGGCGCAGGCCUGAUGCAGCCAUGCAGCGUGUGUGAAGAAGGCCUUCGGGUUGUAAAGCACGUUCAGCGAGGAGGCGUUACUCGCAGAAGAAGCACCGGCUAACUCCGUGGCAGCAGCCGCGGUAAUAC